rnacentral:rRNA from 1 species
UUCGCGAGCGCCCGACCUCCCAACCCUGUGUCUAUGUUACCUCUAGUUGCUUCGGUGGGCCGGCCGUUUCUGUCUCGCGCAGGACGGCCGCCUGGUCUUCACCGACCGGGAGAGCCGCCCGCCGAUGGCCUACACAAAACUCUUGAUACCAAACCAUGUCGUCUGAAUAUUUGUGAUUUAUAAUCAAAACAAAACUUUCAACAACGGAUCUCUUGGUUCUGGCAUCGAUGAAGAACGCAGCGAAAUGCGAUAAGUAAUGCGAAUUGCAGAAUUUCCGUGAGUCAUCGAAUCUUUGAACGCACAUUGCGCCCACUGGUAUUCCGGUGGGCAUGCCUGUUCGAGCGUCAUUAUCCUCUCUCAAGCCUUCUGGUUUGCUGUUGGACCCGCGUUGCCGCCCCCGUGCGCAACUGGUCUCAAAGACAAUGACGGCGUCCGUGGGGACCCUCUUCGCAACGAGCUUCUUCGGAGCACGCGUCGAGUUUCAAGGACCCUGUGGGCCGGUCUAACCAUUUAAUUUUACAAGGUUGACCUCGGAUCAGGUAGGAAUACCCGCUGAACUUAAGCAUAUCAAU